rnacentral:rRNA from 1 species
AGAAUCAACGCUGGCGGCGUGCCUAACACAUGCAAGUCGAACGAGAAAGUGGAGCAAUCCAUGAGUAAAGUGGCGCACGGGUGAGUAACACGUGACUAACCUACCCUGGAGUGGGGGAUAACUGAGGGAAACCUUAGCUAAUACCGCAUAAUACCUACGGGUCAAAGGAGCAAUUCGCUUUGGGAGGGGGUCGCGGCCGAUUAGUUAGUUGGCGGGGUAAUGGCCCACCAAGACUGUGAUCGGUAUCCGGCCUGAGAGGGCGCACGGACACACUGGAACUGAAACACGGUCCAGACUCCUACGGGAGGCAGCAGUGGGGAAUUUUGCGCAAUGGGGGAAACCCUGACGCAGCAACGCCGCGUGGAGGAUGAAGUACUUCGGUACGUAAACUCCUUUCGAUCGGGACGAUAAUGACGGUACCGGAAGAAGAAGCCCCGGCUAACUUCGUGCCAGCAGCCGCGGUAAUACGAGGGGGGCAAGCGUUGUUCGGAAUCAUUGGGCGUAAAGGGUGCGUAGGCGGUUUGGUAAGUCUUUUGUGAAAUCUAUGGGCUCAACUCAUAGACUGCAAGGGAAACUGCCGGGCUUGAGUGUGGGAGAGGUGAGUGGAAUUUCCGGUGUAGCGGUGAAAUGCGUAGAUAUCGGAAGGAACACCUGUGGCGAAAGCGGCUCACUGGACCACAACUGACGCUGAUGCACGAAAGCUAGGGGAGCAAACAGGAUUAGAUACCCUGGUAGUCCUAGCCCUAAACGAUGACUGCUUGGUGUGACGGGUACCCAAUCCCGCCGUGCCGUAGCUAACGCGUUAAGCAGUCCGCCUGGGGAGUACGGUCGCAAGGCUGAA